GUCUGGAUUGUCUCAGUUGGUUAGAGCAUGGUGCUGAUCACACCGAGGUCACAAGUUCAAUCCCCAUAUGGGACA